GUUUGAUUUUUUGAAUGAUUGCAAAUUUUAGUGUCCACUGAUGCAGUGCUAAUGUAAAGGUUUUGUGUAUUUCUCUUGCAUUCUAAAUCCUUGCUGAAUUCAGUUGUUAAUUCUAGGUUUCCAAUCAGUAUGUCAUUUAAAUGUUCCUGCUUGAAAACUUAAUCCCUAAAUUCAUGAGUGAAUGUUUUGGAAGUAAGGUGCCUGGGAGGAAAUCAUCAUUCUGUGAGCCUGGGCAUCAGGCUGGGAUGGUCUGGGGCUCACCAAGAAGAGGAAGGGAGGCCUGGGGUAGCACACAUGCUCUGUCGCCUGUGAUAGCUAUCACGGACACCAAGAUGUCAGGCUCUGGGACUCUCCUCCUCCAAAGAUGCAAGCCACAUCUUUCACUUAAGGAGAACAGCUAG
rnacentral:lncRNA from 1 species